rnacentral:lncRNA from 1 species
CCUCGUCCGAACUCGGAUUUGCGAACCGUUUGCGCCUACGAACUCAUAUCGAGACAAUCUAUAACUUUCAUUAAGACCAUCAGUCCAAAUUCGAACUCCAUAUUUCUGUAAAAAUCAUCAAAGUACGACCAAGUAACAUAUUUCACAAGAUAAAGCAAUUUAAGCACAAAACAAUUAUCCAAUACUCAAUUUCCUAUAAAAUUAACAUCAUAUGAACAUUAAAAACCAUGGAAACAUGAGUGUUAUCAGACUCGCUGCCAAAAAGAUUGCUAUAUAUCUUUAUUUAUAAUGUAUCUAAUUUACAAAUAAAGAAGAUAUAAAAUUAACAAAAAUAUACAUAUUUAUUUCCUCAAAAAUUCGUGUGCCUACAAACACAUCCAUACCUACUGAAAAUUAAAUACUAAUUAAGAAUAGAUUAAAUUGUAAUUUUAAUUUCUUUAAACUAUUAUAUAUAUAUAUAUAUAGUAUAUAAAGAAAAUUAAAUAAAAAAAAACUAAUUGCACUGAGGGUGACUCUAUUCGUAGCUAGCCUCCUAUUUUACUCAUUAUAGUCCCCCGUUUAAAAUAAUUAUAAAUAUACUAUUUUACCCUAUUAUUUGUAGUCCACGAUUUGGGGGCUACAAUCUAAGAGUCCAGCAGAAAUCCCAAAAUUAUGCUCCUAUAUUUCUUUCUAAAGCUUCCCUAUUUAAUUUUAGGGAAAAUUGCACCUAAAUACACAAACUUUGUCAAAAAUUCAUAUUGGACGCGAAGUUAGGAUUUUACAUUUUAAUACACCAACUUUCGUUGUUGUCCAAAUUUGACACAACUUAAUUCUUAAAAAUUCAAAAAACAACCCCUUUUUGUAAAUAAUUAUACAAAGACCCACUUUUGUUAUAGUUUGGGACAUUUAAACCAAAACAAGAUAUUUCCUUAUGAUGUUUUCUUUUAAACCAUUUUAGGCGCGGAUCAAAAUUNGGUUUAAAUGUCCCAAAUAAUAACAUAAGUGGGUCUUUGUAUAAUUAUUUACAAAAAGGGGUUGUUUUUUUGAAUUUUUAAGAAUUAAGUCGUGUCAAAUUUGGACAACAACGAAAGUUGGUGUAUUAAAAUGUAAAAUCCUAACUUCGCGUCAAAUAUGGAUUUUUGGCAAAGUUUGUGUAUUUUCACGCAAUUAUCCCUUAAUUUUAGGAUCUCGAUUUUAUAAAUGCAUACAACAGAUCUCCUAUUUUCUACAUAAAAACAAUAAUUAUGUGUGGGCCCUACUAAUUAUAAGCUUAAAAUAAAUUUAGGGUGAGUGUAAGUUUAAGAUUGAAUUUAGGUAGGUGUAAAAUUUUUUGUGGGCCCCAUUCAAUUUAGGGGAUCUGUUGGAUGCAUUUUUUAUCUCAUUUCCAAUUGUUUUAGCCUAAAUUUAGAGUUAAUGAUGCAUUUAGGUGAUCUGCUGGGAAUGCUCUAAUAGCCCCCGAAAACUGGACAUGAUCUACUUUUCAGUUUCAUACAUAACCUUCUCGAUUCUAUAUAAUUUGUUACUCUUCUCAAUAGAUUGGUGGUGGCUUAUGCAACUUUAGUUUAUCUGAUGAAUACCGUGAAGUAGUUCCAAAAUCACCCUCAACUUUUCUCUUCUCUUUAUCAUUGUUAUUGAAUUUCUUUACAAAAAAAAGUAAAAAAAAAAACUUAACUAUUUCUUCCUAAAUUUUAUAUAAAGUUAUUCUUCUCAUAGAGAUAUCAAAUAAGUUGCAGAUGAGUUAGAGAGCAAGAUUGCAAUUGCAUCUCGUGCCACGUUACUUGUCAAAUUCGUGCUUGUUAUACUAAAAGAAGUAAAUCUUGAUUUCUUGCUCGAUCUGCAGAAGAUAAUUGUAGAUAUUGACCUUGUCAACGAAAAUCAGCAACCGAUUACUAAAGCCCAAUAAAUUUUCUAAUUCAAAUUUAGUUAAAUUAGCAAGCCCAAGCCGCCCAACAUACCAAAAAGACCCAAAAUUUAAUACUCCUAUAAUUUUAUAUACUUUCCAAGAAGGAUUCUGAAGUAGGAUUUCGUUUAAACUUUUGUAUUCACUUUGCCUCAAACAAAAAAAAAAAAAAAACUUUUAAAUACCCUAGUUUUAUAUAGUUGGCAGGGUCGAGUUGUAUUCGACUCAAAAAAAAAAAAAACUUUUGAAUUGGGUCGAGUCGGUAUCAUACCUGAACUUUUCGAGUACCCAACCCCAAAAUUUGCCUUCAAUGUCUAUCCGCACCCGACUCGACAAAAUAUGUCCAGUAUCUUAAUAUUUAAUGCGACCGAAAUUAAAAAUAAAAAACAAAAAAUAAAUAUGACAAUCACAAUUAGGGGUGAGCAUAAAUCGAACCGGACUGAAAAAAUCGAUCGAACCGAUCAUUUCUGGUUUGGUUCGGUUUUGGAAUUUCUGGGUCGAUUUUUGGUUCGGUUCGCUAAGGUAAAAACUGACCAAGUAUCGGUUAGGUUUCGAUUUUCCGGCCAUGGUUCAGUCGGGAACCGAACCGAACCGAUACAUAUAGUAUAUUUUAGUCAAUAUAUUAUUUAUUUUAUAUUUUAUUAUGUAAAAUUUGAAAACCCUACCCCUAACUUACACUUGACACUCCCUACCCACCGCCUCCAAUUGAAUCUAGCCUAAGGGUGUGUUUACUUUGAUAGAAAAGAUUAAAAAAAGUAUAUUUUCCAUCAUUUUCACAUGUUUCCUAUGAUGGAUAAUUUUCUCCGGUCAGGCUGAAAAAUUUAUUCGGGCAGCCCCUUUUCACUCAUUUUCUCACAAAUGUUGGAUAAUAUUAUCCUAUUGGGAGGGUGUGAAAAUAUUUUCCAACAUUUCAAUUUGUUUAUCCAUAUAUUUCUAACAAAGUAAACACAUGAUAAAAAAAGGAGAAAAAGAUAAUAUUAUCUCACCUUUUCUUAUCCAUCAUUUUCAAACGAAAAUUUUACUACCAAAGUAAACAAACCCUAAGUGAAAACUCCUGAUUCUCCUCCCCCGGUGACACUGCGCCGGUGCCACUCUGACCAGUGACCGCCUCCACCCCGGCUUCUCCUACGUCGGCUCGCCUAUGACGACGCAGCAUGAGCAGACCGGCACCAGUUGCGCCACCUCCCCACCCCGACUUCUCCUCCCCCGCUGAUGCAGACCGGCGUCAUCUCCCUUCUCGCAGUAGCAGCAGACCAGCGAGUAUGAUUAGAUUGUUUAGUUGCGAAGAGAUUAUAUGUGUUUAGAUCUGUUUAGUUGGCGAGAAUUUGUAGUGAGAAUUAGUCGCUGAUUUAUUUUUGUUCCUUUUAAAGUCAAGACAAAAUUUGUGGUGAGAAUUAGUGGCUGAAUUAGUUCAUUUUCAGUUUUCAGAUUGUUGUUAGUUUAG